GAUGAACGCUAGCGGCAGGCUUAACACAUGCAAGUCGAGGGGCAGCACAGGUAGCAAUACUGGGUGGCGACCGGCAAACGGGUGCGGAACACGUACGCAACUUACCCUAAGCAGAUGAAUAGCCCUCGGAAACGGGGAUUAAUACAUCGUAAACUAUAAGAGUGGCAUCAUUUUUAUAGAAUAGCUGAGGCGGUUUAGGAUGGGCGUGCGUCCCAUUAGCUAGUUGGUAAGGUAACGGCUUACCAAGGCGACGAUGGGUAACUGGUGUGAGAGCACGACCAGUCACACGGGCACUGAGACACGGGCCCGACUCCUACGGGAGGCAGCAGUGAGGAAUAUUGGUCAAUGGACGCAAGUCUGAACCAGCCAUGCCGCGUGAAGGAUGAAGGCGUUCUGCGUUGUAAACUUCUUUUAUCAGGGAAGAAACCUCAGUAUUCUUAUUGAGCCGACGGUACCUGAUGAAUAAGCACCGGCUAACUCCGUGCCAGCCGCCGCCGUAAUAC
rnacentral:rRNA from 1 species